ACGCAGAAUCAGAAAACAUGUACAAAAUCUUGAAAGUCGGGUACCUUUAGCCCAGCAUAUUGGAAAUGGGCUACAGCCGCUCCUCUCCAUAUACGUAACACCUGCUUGUUUCCGGGCCUGCUGCCCUGACAAAUCCAAGAGCCACAUACACACAAUUGUGCAGGGGUCGUGCCAGGCUCCGGCGUUACAAUGAUCCAAUUCAGCUCUCUCCAGUAGUAUUGACUCCUGGGGGAGGGCUGGGAAGUCUGCCACUUGAAAGGGCUCGGUGGCGGUGGCGGUGGCUGCGGCAGCAGGAGGAAUCCCGCAGCCUCCUGUUUACAAAACUGACAGCAGAUUCUAAAACUGACCCGGGUUUCCUGGAGCUGCCGGAGCUGCCCCCGGAACCACUCACUUUUAAAUCAGUGCCUCUGGCUCCUGACCAACUUACCGGAGGACAGACGGAUAAGCAUAGGAUUGCAGAAUACUACGGCUAAAUUAUCUAGGUAAAGGUAAGGUAAAGGUUCCCCUCACGCUUAUGUGCUAGUCGUUCCCGACUCU